UGCUUUAAUGCAUUUGAUAAAAACGCGAACCUUAAUGUGAUGGACCAUCCUAUUCUAAACUUCAUAUAUUACCUGGUAAGGUUUUUUUGUGUUCUCAAUUGUGGUUCUUUACUGCCAAUACUUAUUACUGUUUAAUUUUUUGUUUUUGGUAAGAUUGGUGACCCCUUUUGGAUCUAGUUAGGAUAUUGGGUGUGGGUUCAUGGAAGCGACCACCUUGAACACCACAUCCCCCUUGGCAACCAACUGAGAUGCCACUCGGCUUAAAGGCCGUUUAAUCCAUAAAUCUCUGUUUGUCUGGCUUCGACUUUGUUGGUCUCUCCUACUAUUCCUCUUACCCUUUUCACACUUUUGUUGCAGUUGGUGGAAAUAUUACCUUCUUCUUUGGUCCUAUUCAUUUUGAGGAAGCUUCCACCAAAGCGUGGUAUCACACAAUAUCACCCAAUUCGCUGAAAAGAUUGAACAUACCGAGAAAAAGGAGCAAUCAGUGGUUGAUUAUUUAUUUAGCUGAUUCUCAUAGUCCAAGGGUAAUUUUUAUAACAGAGAAAGUCAAUCUUUUCUUUGG
rnacentral:lncRNA from 1 species